CGAAUGCUGAAGAGCUCCCACCAGUAGCAUUGAUCCAGUUAAUUAUGCGUUGGCGAUGGGCAUCUUGGUUGUAACACAAAUUUCCACCUUCAUAAGCGAGACUAUCCCAAUACUCGCCAAUAGAAAAUGCUGGAUUUGAUGCUUCUAUAUAUUCUUUCACAUAUGCUCCUGAGAAGCCCCUAACAAAGUCAAGGCGCCACCCAUCAAAACCAACAUCAUUUCGGAGCCAAUUUAGCCACUUUUUUAUAUCUUGUCGUACAAAUUCCUGGGAAUGAUCAAUAUUUGGUGCGGCAUGAAAUAUAUCACCACUUGAAG
rnacentral:misc_RNA from 1 species